UACGUAGGGGGCGAGCGUUGUCCGGAUUUAUUGGGCGUCAAGAGCUCGUAGGCGGUUGCGGAAGUCGGAUGUGAAAUACCGGGGCUCAACUCCGGGGCGCCAUUCGAUACUCCGCUGACUCGAGUCCGGUAGGGGAAGGUGGAAUUCCAGGUGUAGCGGUGAAAUGCGUAGAUAUCUGGAGGAAUACCGGUGGCGAAGGCGGCAUCCUGGACCGGCAUUGACGCUGAUGAGCGAAAGCUAGGGGAGCAAACGGG
rnacentral:rRNA from 1 species